AACUCAUCUGCUUAAUUGCAGUGCGAAACAGUAUAUAUUUUGCUUCGCGUCUCCAGUGUUUCAUCGAGCCAUUCUGACAUCUUCAGACGAGAUCUGCCGCAGUACGCCAGGAACUUACCUAAGACGGAGAGAACCAUGAAUUCCGCAGUGCUGGUUGCCUUGGCGAUAGCCGCCCUGGUGGUCAUGUCCGCCCAAGCCGCUCCCACGGAUCUGCUGGAUGACAUCGAAUCGGAGGUCCAGGAGCUUCGGGACGUGCUGCAGAAGCGCCAAGGGUGUAAUGACAAUCCGUCAUACACGUGUACGGGUUACCAACAUCUGUGUAGAUCCCAUCCGUUAAUGCAACAAAGGUGCAAAAAGACGUGUGGCCUGUGUUGAUGACGAAUGGGACGAGGAAUACUAGCGGCGAGGUAUGUGAGCCAGUCAGCACGCCCAGCCGCGCACACCAUUGCUGAGCACCCCAGUCGCCGCCGCUAGCAGACACGUCAUAAACACAACCCAGCUCCGUCUGAUGUAGGGUCAACAUAUAACAUGUAACAGUUGUGAGGACUUCUUUCUGCAUAGUUUUGGGCAUACCUGUAUGUGCAUGAGGGGAGUCCUAUAUCCCCAGGUUCCGUAACGCACCGUACCAGCUUUAUUGUCUGUGUUCACAACAUUGUUCACACAAUACCACCGCCAUAUCACGUACAUAACAUAGCUACAUGUAAACGUACCGUCAUAUCGUGUGUUGUUAUACUAGUAUAUUGCCGGCUCCAUUUUCCAUGUUACAAACGUUGUUUAUUUACUGUGAAUGCUGUAGUCACACUGGGUGUCGAACUCGCAAUGUUGAAACAAUAAAAAUCAUCCUUGGAUGAAUUAA